rnacentral:rRNA from 1 species
CCUACGGGUGACAGCAGUGAGGAAUAUUGGUCAAUGGGCGCGAGCCUGAACCCGCCAAGUAGCGUGAAGGCUGACUGCCCUACGGUUUGUACACUUCUUUUAUAAAGGAAUAAAGUGAGGCACGUGUGCAUUUUUGCAUGUACUUUAUGCAUAAGGAUCGGCUAACUCCGUGCCAGCAGCCGCGGUAAUACGGAGGAUCCGAGCGUUAUCCGGAUUUAUUGGGUUUAAAGGGAGCGUAGAUGGUUUGUUAAGUCAGUUGUGAAAGUUUGCGGCUCAACCGUAAAAUUGCAAUUGAUACUGGCAGUCGUGAGUACAGUUGAGGUAGGCGGAAUUCGUGGUGUAGCGGUGAAAUGCUUAGAUAUCACGAAGAACUCCGAUUGCGAAGGCAGCUUACUAAACUGCCACUGACAUUGAUGCUCGAAAGUGUGGGUAUCAAACAGGAUUAGAUACCCGAGUAGUC